rnacentral:rRNA from 1 species
GUCUUUUUGAUAAUAAUUUAAGGUCUGGCCUGCUCAGUGAUUAAUUUAAAUAGCCGCAGUAUUAUGACUGUGCAAAGGUAGCAUAAUCAUUAGUCUUUUAAUUGAAGGCUGGAAUGAAUGGCUUGACGAGGAAUGGACUGUUUCUAUCUAAUAUUUAAAAUUUAAUUUUUAAGUGAAAAAGCUUAAAUAAGUUUUUAGGACGAGAAGACCCUAUAGAGCUUUAUUAAAUUGGGUUUAUUGAAUUUAGUUUAAUUUUGUAUUUAUAAUUUAAUUUAAUUGAGUUGGGGUGACUGGAAAGAUAAUUAAACCUUUUCUUAUAUUUUACAUUAAUUUAUGUUUAAUUUGAUCCUUAAUUUUGGAUUAAAAGAUUAAGUUACCUUAGGGAUAACAGCGUAAUUAUCUUUGAGAGUUCAUAUUAACAAGAUAGUUUGCGACCUCGAUGUUGGAUUAAGAAAAAUUUUAGGUGCAGAAGCUUAAUAAUUGGGUCUGUUCGACCCUUAAUUUCUU